AACGAACGCUGGCGGCGUGCUUAACACAUGCAAGUCGAACGUGAAAGACUUCGGUCGAGUAAAGUGGCGAACGGGUGAGUAACGCGUGGGUAAUCUGCCCUCGGGCGGGGGAUAACCUCUCGAAAGGGGGGCGUAAUACCGCAUGAGACCACGGCUUCUUGGAGCUGUGGGAAAAGGUGGGUCGCAAGACCAGCCACCUGAGGAUGAGCCCGCGUACCAUUAGGUAGUUGGUGGGGUAAUGGCCUACCAAGCCUGAGAUGGUUAGCUGGUCUGAGAGGACGAUCAGCCACACUGGGACUGAGACACGGCCCAGACUCCUACGGGAGGCAGCAGUGGGGAAUAUUGCGCAAUGGGGGGAAACCCUGACGCAGCAACGCCGCGUGUGUGAAGAA
rnacentral:rRNA from 1 species